rnacentral:lncRNA from 1 species
UCCUUUUCGCUCUAAUAAUGAAAAUGAGACCUUCAUACAUCAUUUUCCUGUGUCUUCUCACCGCUGCUCCGUGUCUUCUUUCCACAAGUGUUAUCAGCUCUUCUAAUUCUCCAGUCCCAGUUUCUCUCCUAGGAAGGCGAACCAUGAGAGAUUUGAGCAUGUCGUCCUCCAGCCAACAAGAUGCACAUCACAAGAUCAAGGUGGGAAUAUAUAAUGGAUCCAUCCCCUUACUCUUAUCAUUUACCAUAAAAUUCUAGUUUGGGAAUCUGAAGUCUAGUUCUAUGUUGCAGGUUCAUGAAGAAAUGGAGAGAUAUUCAAACCAGCCUGGUUCGUUUUCAAAUGAGUUUGCGAGUGUGUACAAUGAACCAGAGCUUGUCUACCACAUUGAUUAUCAUGGGGUGACAACUCAUCCAAAUGGACCAAAUCCAAGCCCCAAACAUCCAAAACCAUAGGCUAUGUUUGGAUAUGCAAACUACAAAGACAUGCUCUGGAUAGGAUAAAAUAUGCUAGCCCCUGUUGCCCUUUCCAGGG